rnacentral:rRNA from 1 species
AUGCCUAGUACGGCGAGUGAGCGGCAAUAGCUCAAAUUUGAAAGCUGGCCUUCGGGUCCGCAUUGUAAUUUGUAGAGGAUGCUUUGGGGCAGCCGCCUGUCUAAGUUCCUUGGAACAGGACGUCAUAGAGGGUGAGAAUCCCGUAUGUGACAGGACAUGGCACCCUAUGUAAAGCUCCUUCGACGAGUCGAGUUGUUUGGGAAUGCAGCUCUAAAUGGGAGGUAAAUUUCUUCUAAAGCUAAAUACUGGCGAGAGACCGAUAGCGCACAAGUAGAGUGAUCGAAAGAUGAAAAGCACUUUGGAAAGAGAGUUAAAAAGCACGUGAAAUUGUUGAAAGGGAAGCGCUUGCAAUCAGACUUGUUCUGACUGUUCGGCCGGUCUUCUGACCGGUUUAUUCAGUCUGGGCAGGCCAGCAUCAGUUUCGGCGGUCGGAUAAAGGCCUUGGGAAUGUGGCUCUGCCUUCGGGUAGAGUGUUAUAGCCCAGGGUGUAAUACGGCCAGCCGGGACUGAGGUCCGCGCUUCGGCUAGGAUGCUGGCGUAAUGGUUGUAAGCGACCCGUCUUGA